CCUACGGGUGGCAGCAGUGGGGAAUCUUGGACAAUGGGGGAAACCCUGAUCCAGCGACGCCGCGUGAGUGAAGAAGUAUUUCGGUACGUAAAGCUCUAUCAGCAGGAAAGAACAUGACGGUACCUGACUAAGAAGCCCCGGCUAACUACGUGCCAGCAGCCGCGGUAAUACGUAGGGGGCAAGCGUUCUCCGGAUUUAAUGGGUGUAACGGGAGCGUAGACGGCAGCGCAAGUAUGGAGUGAAAUGCCGGGGCCCAACCCCGGAACUGCACUGGAAACUGGGAAGCUGGAGUGCAGGAGAGGUAAGCGGAAGUCCUGGUGUAGCGGUGAAAUGCGUAGAUAUAAGGAGGAACACCAGCGGCGAAGGCGGCUUACUGGACUGUAACUGACGUUGAGGCACGAAAGCGUGGGGAGCAAACAGGAUUAGAUACCCGAGUAGUC
rnacentral:rRNA from 1 species